GCUUCGAUAAACCUGGCAUCACAUCUGCACUAAAAUUCAUACACCAGAUUACUCAUCUGGAUGAUAAGCAGGAUAUAUUUUUACUUGAACAUUCCAUUUGUUGUGUGCAUAAUUUGUGUUGAUACUGAGCAACUAAAUUAAACAGCUAGUUUCACCUGUAGUCCACAUGGGUGACAUACCUUCCGCUUCUAAAAUAAUCUCAAGUAAUCUGGGCAUGUUUCAUGACUAAAUGUGAGAUUGUCUUGGAGCUGUUUGAGUUUGUGUGGUCAUGUAAUAAGACAUUCUCUGAAUAGGGCAUUCGUGCUAUCCUGAAACAUGGCCUUGAUGUGCCCGACUUAAUGCUUAUGUAAUGAACAAAUAUUGUGCCCUCCUAUUUACGAAGUUGGUGAACCUUGGGAAUCUCAAAGUAUAUACUAACCGGCAAAGCUAAGUUUGUGACACAGUGGAAGAGAGCCCAGUAGCUAAUUUCUCAACCAGGACAUUGAGAAAAGAGAGAUAAUUUGACUAUCCUUUCAAAUGUGUGGAGUCCCUUUUAUGAAGUUUAAACUAAGUCUGGCAGAUAAUCACUAAUCAUUGUUAACCAGUGUGUUCCACAUGGCAUUGUUUCCAAGUUCAUUUGCCAAACAAUCAGCCCUCUCUUAUCAUGCAUUAUAAAGUGUAGUUUUCCUCUUGAAUUGCUAGCUGAAACUUAACAAAAUGUCUUGUCUUUGUCAGUAUAACUAACUUUCAUUUAUGAUAGCUAAAACAAAGCCUUCCUUUCAGGUAUUGAAUUUGAUUUGCAACUGUCGAGAACAGGAAGGCAUGAGCAUUGACUACAUGAGGAAAACACUGAAGAAUAUGAACAUCGUUGCAAUCAAGCAAGCAGUAGAAUUUCUGAGCAAUGAAGGGCACAUCUAUUCUACAGUGGAUGAGGAUCAUUUCAGGUCAACAGAUGCUGAAUAAUUGAGUAAUAAAAUGAUGUGAAACUAAAAUUCUGAAUCAUUCUACAACCUGCAGAAUCCAUCAUCCUGUAGUAAAAUGUAAAAUACCAAUUUUAACAUAAAGUCUCUUGUGGGACGUGGGCAACACUGGCUGAACCGACCAAUCUCUAUUGCUCUUGAGAAGAUGGUGGUGAGCUGCUGCCUUGAGCUACUGUGGUCCACAUGCUGCAGGUAGAUUAACAAUUAUAUCUGGGAGGGAAUUCCAAGAUUUUGACCCAGUGACAGUGAAGAAACAGCAAUAAAUUUACAAGUCUGGCUUGGAGAGGUGGUGCUCUCAUGUAUCUGCUGACCCUUGUCCUUCUAGGUCAAAUUGGUCAUGAGUUAAAGGUGCUGUCUGAGGAUCUUUUUGGGUGAAUAUCGAGUGCGCAUCUCAUAGAUCAUAGUGUUAGAGGGAGUUAAUGUUUCUGGAUGUGCCAUUCAAGUGGACUGCUUUGUCCUGGAUGGUGUCAAACGUCUUGAGCAUUGAUGGGGUUGCAUGCAUCUAGGCUAUUGAGGAAUAUCCAUCAUGCUCCUGACUUGUGCCUUGUAAUGGUGGCCAAGCUUUGGGGAGAUUAAUUACUCACUAGUAUAUUCUUAGACUCUGACCUGCUUUUUUAAACCCAUCACCUUUCUUUGCAAAUCCCUCCUCUCUGGCAUCAGUGUAACGGAUCUCCUGAGCUGUGUCCAAUCAAUUAUGUCCUCAUGCAAGUAAGGGACCUAAAAUUGGAUACAAUACUCAAUUUUAAACUAAUCUGACAGCAGUGAAUGAUCUAAGAACAUCAGGGAAAUAUCAGGAUGAAUAGAAUAAUUAGAUAGUUGGUACUUGUAUAAAAGAGUAGGAAAUCAAUAGUUGAAAUCUGAGUAAGGAAGAAAGUAAUGAAGACUAAGUCAGUUAAUGUGCAUGUAUGUGGAUGCAUAAGGAAUAGUAAGAAAGUUUGGGGAUUUACAGGUGCAAAUUGCCAUGUGGAAACAAGACAUCAUAACAAGACUUGGUUUAAGGAAAGGCAGGACUGGGUGUUAAAUAUUCUUAGGUACAUGAUCUCCAGAAAAGAAGGGGUGGUAGUAUUAGUUAGGAAGAGUGUUGCUGUACUGGAGAAUGGUUUUGCUCAAUGUACUAUAUAGGUAAACCAGUUAGUUUGAAGGAUCUUUAGGGGGGAAAAAAUGAUUUGAAAUUCAAGAGAUGCUAACAUUCCUGAGUACUUACAAGGGGGGAUGUUAACUACAAGAAUGUAGACUGCAACAAUAGCAGUGUAAAUGGUAGAUUGGAAUAACAUUCCUAGAUAUUGCUGUAGGAACUUUUCCUGAACAUUAUGUUGAGUUAUAGAGUCAUAGAGAUGUACAGCAUGGAA